GAACCGCAUGGUUCAAUAGUGAAAGACGGUUUUGCUGUCACUUAUAGAUGGAUCCGCGCCGCAUUAGCUAGUUGGUAAGGUAACAGCUUACCAAGGCAACGAUGCGUAGCCGACCUGAGAGGGUGAUCGGCCACACUGGAACUGAGACACGGUCCAGACUCCUACGGGAGGCAGCAGUAGGGAAUCUUCCGCAAUGGGCGAAAGCCUGACGGAGCAACGCCGCGUGAGUGAUGAAGGUCUUCGGAUCGUAAAACUCUGUUAUUAGGGAAGAACAAAUGUGUAAGUAACUAUGCACGUCUUGACGGUACCUAAUCAGAAAGCCACGGCUAACUACGUGCCAGCAGCCGCGGUAAUACGUAGGUGGCAAGCGUUAUCCGGAAUUAUUGGGCGUAAAGCGCGCGUAGGCGGUUUUUUAAGUCUGAUGUGAAAGCCCACGGCUCAACCGUGGAGGGUCAUUGGAAACUGGAAAACUUGAGUGCAGAAGAGGAAAGUGGAAUUCCAUGUGUAGCGGUGAAAUGCGCAGAGAUAUGGAGGAACACCAGUGGCGAAGGCGACUUUCUGGUCUGUAACUGACGCUGAUGUGCGA
rnacentral:rRNA from 1 species